GCAAAGGCAGUUGGAGGGUUGGUGGCCCACAACAUGCUGGGGUUACAGGCAGAGGGUCGGAUGACAGGCAGUGCUGGGUGCCCGUGAUCAGUGGAGACAGACAACAGGAAGGAAGAGGAUGUGCGGCAGAUGGGAUGACACAUUCGCCUGGCUCACAUUCUGCCAUAUUUUGAGCCUUGCCUGAUCCUCUUCAAGUGAUGCUGAUGUUUAAAAAAAAAAAAAAAAAAGAUAGGAGGAGCCUGAUUAUCAGAAGUGGUAUUUUCUGGAUUUUCAUACAUGGAGGAUGACUGAAGGAUCCUGAACUUCCCUGCUCUGGAUGGACAGUGUCCCUGUAGUGUACUUCUCAGCCUAUGGCCAAUGGGCCUUGAAAGCCAGUGACCAUCACAAGAUCAGAAAACUGGAGCUUCAUAUUAAGGACUUGGCCCAAGACCACAAAAUUCCUAAAUCAUGUGGGAUUCAAACUCCAGCCACAGACUCUCAAGUUUGCACAAUUAACUUCUACUUAAGGAAUCUCAGUCUGGCAGAGACCACAGGCAUGUGAACAAAUAAAGUUUAAUACAAGAAAUGCCACAACAAGGAUAAGAACAGAGACACAGAUUGAGUAAUUCUGUCUUGGACCUAGGACCUGAGAUAAGUCUAAGCUGGACUUUGAUGCAUGAGAAGGGAUUGUUCUAGGCGAAAAAGUUACUCUAGGUAUAAGGAGUUGCACAUACCAAAGCAUGGGGGGUCUGGUAUGUGUGUGAAUUGUCUAGAGAGGGAACCCAGAGGCAGGAAACAAAGGUAUUGCAGUAGCCUGGGUGAAGAUAUAAAGAGAGUUGGAGCAGGGGAAAUGGAGGAUACCAGAGUUAGGAAAGGUUUCUAAGACAGGAGUGAUAUAAUCUAGUGACCAACUGGAUGUGGACAGUGGAGGAGUGAAUUGAUACCUGAUAGCUUUGUAGAUGGUUUGUGAAGACUGAGUACCAAGGAGGUAAGACAGAUUGGGGAAAGAGAAGAGGAAGAUGAUACCUUAGUUCAGUCUCAGAAAAGAUGAGUUUCUAGACAUCCUCUGGAAUUCAUUCUCUAUUUUACCAAACAUUCAGCCCGUGCUGUAAGGAAGUGAAACCAGAACAAAACUGGGUCUUGCCUUCCUGGAGUUCACAUACUAUAUAAUCUGGCAAAGUAUAGAGGAACUAAUAGGAACAUUUCUGGUUAUUAUAGUGACUGAGGAUGUUUCUUGCACUUAGUGGACAGGUGCCACAAAAACAGACAUUUUGCAAUAUUUGGGAUUGUUUAACACAACAAUGCCCUAGUCUCUAUCUCUCUUGACUUUCAAAUGUCCCACUAGAUGUACAUAUAGGAGAUAAUCCAUUUAUAAUUAAUUAUCUGAGCUUAUAAUGGGCAGAAGAGCUAAAAAGAAACUUCUCUGAAGAGGAAAUGCAAAUG